GAUGAACGCUGGCGGCGUGCCUAAUACAUGCAAGUCGAGCGCACGGACGAGAAGCUUGCUUCUCUGAUGUUAGCGGCGGACGGGUGAGUAACACGUGGAUCACCUACCUAUAAGACUGGGAUAACUUCGGGAAACCGGAGCUUAUACCGGAUCAUAUUUUGAACCGCAUUGUUCAAUAGUGAAAGACGAUCUUGCUGUCACUUAUAGAUGGAUCCGCGCUGCAUUAGCUAGUUGGUAAGGUAACGGCUUACCAAGGCAACGUUGCAUAGCCGACCUGAGAGGGUGAUCGGCCACACUGGAACUGAGACACGGUCCAGACUCCUACGGGAGGCAGCAGUAGGGAAUCUUCCGCAAUGGGCGAAAGCCUGACGGAGCAACGCCGCGUGAGUGAUGAAGGUCUUCGGAUCGUAAAACUCUGUUAUUAGGGAAGAACAUAUGUGUAAGUAACUGUGCACAUCUUGACGGUACCUAAUCAGAAAGCCACGGCUAACUACGUG
rnacentral:rRNA from 1 species